rnacentral:rRNA from 1 species
GACGAACGCUGGCGGCGUGCUUAACACAUGCAAGUCGAACGGAAAGGCCUAGCUUGCUGGGUACUCGAGUGGCGAACGGGUGAGUAACACGUGGGUGAUCUGCCCCUGACUUUGGGAUAAGCCUGGGAAACUGGGUCUAAUACCGGAUAUUCAUUUUUCCUCGCAUGGGGAUUUGUGGAAAGCUUUUGCGGUUGGGGAUGGGCCCGCGGCCUAUCCGCUUGUUGGUGGGGUAAUGGCCUACCAAGGCGACGACGGGUAGCCGACCUGAGAGGGUGAUCGGCCACACUGGGACUGAGACACGGCCCAGACUCCUACGGGAGGCAGCAGUGGGGAAUAUUGCACAAUGGGCGCAAGCCUGAUGCAGCGACGCCGCGUGAGGGAUGACGGCCUUCGGGUUGUAAACCUCUUUCAGCUCCGACGAAGCGCAAGUGACGGUAGGAGCAGAAGAAGCACCGGCCAACUACGUG